AGGUGACAAACUAAAGUAGUUUAG
rnacentral:siRNA from 1 species